UACAGAGGGGGCAAGCGUUAUUCGGAAUUAUUGGGCGUAAAGGGCGCGUAGGCGGCUUUGCAAGUGACGGGUGAAAUCCCUCGGCUUAACCGAGGAACUGCCUGUCAGACUGCAUGGCUUGAGACCAGGAGAGGUGAGUGGAAUUCCCAGUGUAGCGGUGAAAUGCGCAGAUAUCAGGAGGAACACCAAUUGCGAAGGCAGCUCGCUGGGACGUAACUGACGCUGAGACGCGAAAGCGUGGGGAGCAAACAGG
rnacentral:rRNA from 1 species